CCCGACCGGUCCGUGAGCUCCGGGCCGCGCGGUGCGCGUGGGGCGUCCCGCUGGGCCUGGCGCGCGCCCGCGCCUCCGGCCCACCGAGCAGCCCGGGAUUGCCCCAGACGAGCUCGGCAGCGCUUCCCGUCCGGGACACGGCGUCUGAACCUGGCGCCUCUCCACAUCCAGCCCGACCCCAGGAAAGCCGAGCCCUCCCGGCCUGACCUUGCGCAACUGAAGGCCAACCCUGCGCGUCCCGCCGUCCCUCUGAACGGGGCGUUCCGGCGGCGGUGGCAGAAUUUCGGGUUUGCUUUGUUUCUCUAGUGAAGAGAACGCACUCUCCUACCCUCAAAGAGGCGUCCAGGCGUACUUCCCUGAGUGUUCGUGGCUGAUACUGGUUCCGAACCUGUCUGGCCCUGAGCCUUUUCGUUUCUCCUGUUUUAUGCAGAUCACUCGAGAUAAGUAAGAAAAUUAGGAAUUCGAUAGUUGGAAAGCAGACUGGGGAGGAAAAUUAAAUCCAACACCGACUGGAAAUAUGCUGGACAGAUGAAACGACAGUGACAGAAGACAGGAGAGUAAUUUACCUGAAAAAAAGAAAGAGAUUAGGCUCUGAAUUUUCCAGAUUGUAAUGACAAUACGAAAUAAAUCCAAAGAAAUUGCUUCCCUGACACUCUAUGUACAACCAAAGCAGAAGCCCUGGUGCGUGGAUGGCGAUGGCGUGGUCAAGUGGAUAUUUGAGGCCUUUCAAGUGACAAUUCAGCUUGGGGACAUUUGCAUAGUCUUUCAGCAAAGUACAGCCGAUUAGGUGGCCUUUGGUCCUGGCGGAAAACAAUUUAUAAUUUAUAUCCACCUGUGGGGGGUAGCACUCUACUGAAAUCAAGAGUGGUUUCUAGGGAGUUAACCUCGGCAGAAGUCUCUCCAGUGAGCAGGACAAGGUAGAGAGGCCUGCUGCUCCAGAGGGGCGGCCACACGCGACCUUUCCUCUGGCUGUGUUCUGGAGAGGAAGGCUCUGAACUUAGCUUUGGCCACAGCAAAUUAUUGCUCAUUUGAUACCAAGAAUUCUAUUGACCACGGCUUUCGUUGGAGAGCGAAUUCUAACUACUGGCUGCUCUGUUGUCAGCUAGAGCUGAGGCUGGGAACCUUCCACAAGGCUGUGACGGCACACAGAGUCCUCUGCUCCAGGAAGUGCAGAGAUAACGCUGGUGUGUGUUGUCUGCCUGCACCCAAAGCGAUGGUGUUCCUGGAAUGCAAGCACCGCCCGCCAUGCUUGGAGCAUCCUGCCGCAGAGAGAACACUUUCUCCUGGUCUCAGCCCAGACUGACAGCCUGGGGGCCUCGUAGGACACUCGGCCAGAUGACACACACACAAGGGCACCCAGAACCUGUGUCGUGGGCUCCCGGGCAGCUGUGGAUCCAGGAGGCAGGCUGAGCAAGCCAGCAACACUCGCUGCCACUUGUCCAGAAAGCAAGAAAGCGGCAAUAUCCUCAGUGUUAUUUAAGGGAAAAAGACUGGGACCUGCACUGGAGUUUAAAAGUUAGGGGCGGGCUGCUCCCCAGCAUUUCUUUGGAAGGAGGCAGAACUGAGAGCUAUGCAGCUGGCUUGGCGCUUCAGCCCAUAGGAGAGGAGGAAAUUCUCCUCCUCCUCGCUGCACCUUGGAGCAGGUCCUCUGGCAGAGCUCUCGGCUCCCCAGCACCCCGUCAGCCUCCUGCCUCUCCUGCCAGGCCAAUGGAACCAGCAGAACUCGAUAGUAAAUUAUUUUGUUCAGCCCUCUGUCUUUUUAUGAAAAUAAAAGCCAACACUUUGUCAUUUUUAAUCACGUAAGCAGACAAUAAAUCCAAUUUCGAUAUUGAUUUUUUUUUCCAGAAUCAAGUGAUUUUUUGCAGUGUCUGUUGUGUUUCCUUUUGCGAAAAAGAGCCGCUGGCCUCAGAGCGGUGGGGGUGAGGCAGCCUGUGCAGCCAGCUCCUCUGAAACAGGCCACGGCUGUGGACUUUGAAGCCAGGCAGCUGAGCUGAGCUGCAGCUCUUAGCUGUCCCGGUGUCUAGGUGUCCUCUAGUUGUCUGGAUCAUGGUUUCCACUUAGCCAUCCCUGGUGCCCAAGAUACAGCUAAGGCUCAGCCAGUGUUUUUAGGGCUAUAGAUCCUGAGAC
rnacentral:lncRNA from 1 species